UACGUAGGUGACAAGCGUUGUCCGGAUUUACUGGGCGUAAAGAGCGCGCAGGCGGUCGUUCAAGUCGAGUGUGAAAACCCGCGGCUCAACUGCGGGCCUGCAGCCGAUACGGGCAGGCUAGAGUUCGGUAGGGGAGACUGGAAUUCCUGGUGUAGCGGUGAAAUGCGCAGAUAUCAAGGAGGAACACCGGUGGCGAAGGCAGGUCACUGGGCCGCAACUGACGCUGGAGGAGCGAAA
rnacentral:rRNA from 1 species